ensembl:lncRNA
GCUGGAUGUGGAACUGCAAGAGCAGAGAGGAGGAGAAGUCUCACCAUGAAGACAAAAGAAGUCCUGAGCCUUGGAUUUUCUUCCUCUAGGUCUGUUUUGUGGACCCACAGACUCGUAGAAGUUCUCUGAGGGCUGCCUGCUCCCCAUCUGCCUCAGAUGGAUCCCUUAAGGUAAGAUUGGGAACCAGCUGUGGAAAGACUUUAAUAAUGGGAUGGAUGGACUACCAAUCUCCCCCUCUGUCAGGAUUGAUUUUGCAGCAAGACUGUGAGCUUAACGAGAGCAAAACUCAGGCCUUAUACUCCUUCAUGUGCCCUGCAGACUCCAGAGGUGCUAGGAGGUUUCAGCAUGAAUUCUGGAGAGGACACGUGCAUUCAGACCACAGCCUCUUGUUGAGUGGGACUUCACAAUUGGAGAAAAACACAUCCCCCUUGCUUGGACAUCAUCGACUUCCCAUUCCUCUGCCUGAAAGGAUCCUGAGAUGUGCCUACAGACAUCAGCAUGAUGGCUCAUCUGAAACAGCCUCCGUGGAGCGUGCAGAUGAAUCAAAUCUAAAGAGCGAGGAAAAAACAGAAAUGAGUAAUUGGUGAAUUUAGGAAGAAUGGAGAGUUCAUCAGGGUAAUCAGAAACAGUUUUAACAUCAAAAUUAGCAAUCUCGUUUCCUGAAUCCAUGGGUAAUGAUGUCUCAUCAUUUUAGAAAUGCCUAUAAUAAAUCCUUUAAAAAUAAAUUCCAGUAACUUUGAAGAAAAAUAAGAACCCAAAUGAAUAUGACAAUUAUCUAGAGUUUAAAAAUAUUAGGAUGAGAAGCAAUUUUUAGAAAUCAUCUGUAAAAUGCAGAUAAUACACAUACCAGUUAGAAUUUUGGUGAAGAUGAAAUGUUAGAAUGAAUGUAACUCACUUAGCCAGAGCCUUGCAUAUACUAUUAUUAUUUCAGCAAAUAUGAUCUGAUCACUUUAUGGGCCAAGGAAAGAUGUGAGGUCUGGAGAGAUUGACUUGUCUGUGGUCAGAAAGCUGCCACUGAACAACCCAAGAUUAACAUCCUUUAGGGUGAUGCCCAGUAUGGAAUCCUUUCUGCUUUGCACAGUUCCAACACCCAGCAAGUUUACAUCAACAUAUUUUAACUCAACCCCAAAACUCUAGAAAAUGCUAAGGAAGAUGAGACUUUCUCAAAGACGCCUGGCACAUUUCAGUCACUACACAUUGUUUAAAGUUGCUGGAGGAAUCAUGGAAGACUUUGUUUCCACCAGAGCCUUGGGCAUUCACAUUGGCGAGGGGGCUGCUCAGGAGGGCCUUUGGGAAGGAGAAUUGGGAAGAAGGUGGUUAAGGCUUAUAUGGUAGGUGAUGCCGUUCGAAAAGGACGUGAUGAAGCCUUCUCUUUUACCCCAAAUUUCCAGAAAACUCACCUACAGUGGAUAUUUACUUUGGCCUCCCUCAGAAUCACUGGAGUGUGCUUCAUAUCAGAAUUCUGAGGAGCCGAUUAGGGAGAGAAUGUGAGUUGGCAAAGCAUGGGGUUGGCUGGCCAGGUUUGUCCUACCAGAAUCUCCACAAGGGGCUCUUUAAUGGAGAGAAGCAGAGGUAGACCAUGCAACUCAUGCACCUAUUAAAACUUUCCUAAUAACAUAUAAGUCCUCUAACUUUUUUUUAGCUUGGAAAAAAAGCUUUUAAAUACAUUUUAACUAAGAUAUUCUAUUAAAUUCAAUCUUUUAAAUAUGGGUAUAUCUUUCCCCCUCAUAUUCAUCGGAUUUGGCUAUUUUUUUAUAGCUUUAGAUCCUUUCUAUUCAAGUUUAUGUUUAGCUGCUAUUUAAAUUUUUUUUUAUUCUUGUUUUUCCCUCCUCCCAUCCUCCCCGGUACUGUCGUGGAUUUUAAAGAACACACUUUUGGGGAGGAUUGGAAGAAAAGGCUGAGGCUAGAGCUUGCUCAGUCAUACUUACCUAAUCACAGCCGUUCAUCCUUCACAGCAUUCCAUUCCCUUGUGUGUGUGUGUGUCUGUGUGUGUGUAUGUGUGUCUAUCUAUACAUGAAGGCUGAGAUAUGUCAACUUUUGAAAAAAAGAUGGGUAAAUUGCAUGUAUUUACAAUUUUGCAUUGUGUUUCUUUGUUUUCUAGAUGUCAGCUGAGGCCUCUCUGCCUCUCUUGAGAUUAGGCAAAAUUAGCAAGAAUUUCCCACCACUAUUGCCAAUGGAUUUCUGAAGUUCCACUAAUAUUUCUUUGAAUUCAUGGGGAGGGGGCAGAGUGAAGCUGUGUUCUUAAGGCCUCCUCUGUGUCCUGGGCUACUUCUUUCCUGCUUGUCACUUUGGCUCCAUUUAUAUCCCAUAAAACUCUUAUCCAUUGUAGAAAUUAAAGAAACCAAAAUACUCUCACAUAAAAAAUUAAGGUGAACAGAGAAGAUAUUUCUACAGCUUUUAGGAGGAGGGAAAAGGGGUAUUAAAAUGGAUGUAUGACAUAGAAACACAAACAGCCGCACAUAGAAGAGUAGGCCUUACCAUUCUUCAAAUGUGCUUUGGCCACACUGUCGCCAGAACAUUCCACUGGUCUUCCUGCCCUGGUACAAACCCUUACUAUUUCCUUGGCUCUUCUCUUAUCCUUCCUUUUAAAAACAAAUGCUGAAAAUGUCUCAUUUCACGCAGAGCCCUAGCGAAGGAGCCUUACAAAUGUUCUUGCCCAAAAUCUCUAACCAAGGGGAAUUCUAGGCUGCCCCUGUGAAGGUAGCUGCCUUUUGACUAAUAUUAUUUUUGUGUUUACUUCAUGUUUAGUCCACAUACUGGCUAUUUUGUAUAGCUUUAGAUGAAAACUAUAUACUAUAUAUCUAUAAAAUAGCAGAAAGCAUUCGGAUUGCGAGUGCUUUUGGAUUCAGCAUUGUUCCUCUGAUUAUCUGGUAGGUGUUGUUAACAUACUGUCUGUUUUCUCUCUCUAAACCCCCACAGGAAACAGGGUAGGCCUCUUGGGGUGUCUGGCAAACUGGGAAGUGACAGGAUUCAGGUCCACAGAAGUAGAAAUGAGGGUUUCCCCACAGGUGAUCAAGAAAGGCAAAAGCCCAGUGGUUCAUCUGAGCCAAUAGCUCUUGCAGAGCACCAAGGAUUAUGCUGGGGAACCAAGGUUAGUUGAGAAAUUCAAAGAUCAGGAAUAGUGUUUAAAAAGAAACAAAAAAGUGUGCCUGCGUGUGUGUGCGUGUGUGUGUGUGUGUGUGUGUGUGUGUGUGUGUGUUGGGGAAGGGGCUUGGAGGCAAAGCCGAGGAUUAGAGGCCAGGCAGAGCUAGAAUAGCCUGGAAGGACAUAGGAACAUCUAUAACUUGCCGUUUUAGACAACAUGCAAGCAGAGGGCUGCUCCAUCCCUCACAGGGACGUACAGGUACUCCUGGGCACCCUUUUGUCCAUAGGAAGCCACGGCUCCUGUUCGAGUUUCCUGUUGUCAGGAUUCACUGGCAUUGUGUUCCUUUCUCAGCAUCAGUCACACCUUUAUGAUUGUUGUUGUUGGGGCAAUAUUAAAUGUUUGGAGACUCCCAAGGGACUUUUACGGGGAGCAAGUUGUAUUUUGAAAUCUAAGGAGUAUACUCUGACUUGAAGACUAGUUGUAAAGGCAGUUUUAUACCAGCAGAUGUGUCUUGUGAUGCCGAAUCAUUCAUCACUAUAAAAUUUGUAAAUUACAGAACUCAUUUAUUAGUUUCUAGUUGAACCCUUAUAUUCAGGCAUUUCUUAAAAUAUUCUCUUGC